ACCUGACAGCGGAUGUGGUAUCAUGUACUGUAGUUGUCACAAAUGUGUACAUUGCAUUCUCAUGAUCCAACUGCUCCAUGUUUUUCAUUGAUUUAUUGUCUUUCUUUUGAUAUAGGCAGGGGAAAUGGGUGGAUCCAAAUCUCUAAACACAAGAGAUCUGCUAAUGUGCUAUGUUGGUCUAAUAGGUAAGGUAAUUUAUAUUUUUGCUAUGCGCGUGUUUUUUAUGUCAUGGUUACUUAAAUAUUAAGAUGAUGAAUGAUUUAUUUUGGUUUAAGCUUCCAAUGUAUUAAGUUGAUUAGCUUCUAAGCUAUCCAGUUCUUCAUUUAUAAAAGGUGUACCUUAAGUUAGACUACUAGUUAUUAACAACUUGUUCAUGAUCUGUGUUGUCUUUGCAUCAUCAUUUGUUCUUCUUGUCAAGAUGCUUAUAUGCAUAUUUUCCAUACAUGUCGCAUAAGAGCCGGUAUUUCUUCUUUUAAUAUUCUCCCUUUUUUUGGUCUAAUAUGCGGAAUGUGCGCCUACUUCAUAACAAUUCAGUUAUGGCCGCGGAUGUUUUACUUAUUCGAGCUUCAUGGAUGUUUCAGUUUUCUUAGAUGCUAUUAUGUAUUCAGCAAGAUGUCAUCACACUUUUUUUUGUAUCUAUGAAUAUUUAUUUUUUCUACUUCAACUAUAAAAUUAAAACAGUGGAUGUGCCAUUUUUACACUAUAUUCCAUGAAUAUUUUUAUCUAAUCCCUAUACAAUUUGGGGAUGAAUGUUUACCCACUGCAAUGUUUAAACUGAAUUCCCCUGUACAAAUUCUGUUCAAUCCUGGCCAAGUAAACAACAUUAAAGUAGAUAUCUCCGUCAACAUGGUGAGCGUGGAGUCGUCGACCUCAUCGGGAUUAAGCGUCUCCACCGUCCGAUUUGCCGAGAUCCAACGGUUGGCGCACAAACCCUAUCCCCCUCUUCUUUCUUCCUCCCUCACAGCCGCCGGCUUCUGGUACCUUCCUUCCUCGCAUCUCCUUCUCCAGUCGCCGCCCACCUUCCCCUCCCAGCUCCUUCUCUUGUCUCAGAGUCCGCAUCAGGGCACUGGACACGCACCGCCGUCGCGAACUCCAGGCCGCCCCCACACCGCCCGGGAUGCGCGUUUGGACGCCAGGGGCAGCACCGACCCAUCCCCGCGGAGCUGCAUCGCGGUGGGUGUUGCCACUGCAGUAAACGCCAAGGGAAGCGACGACCUCCACUUCCCGCGUGGCUGUGGCCGGCAGGAUACGACGCUGAGCGAGCAGCAUUGAGCUGGUACUCUCAAGGUGCCUGGCCGAGGUGGCUACGCCGAGCUGCCACCGUGGGGAUGCACCGCGUUUGGACACUGUUGGCCCUUCAUUGUUGCAGGCCCGCGUCCGUCUGCUAGGGCGUCCUCAUCGCCGAUUUUUCCGUCGACCUCGCUGGCUGUGAGUCGCUUGCCCCAGCAGCUCCACUGCGCUGUGUUUUACUUCUGAUUUUUUUGAGGCGGUCUUUGGUUGUCCAUGCCCAGGCAACGGCGCUUCAUCUUGUUCUAGUUGGUGGAGAUGGAUGCUCAGAGGUGAUAUGGUGGAUAAAUGGUGUUCUCCGCCAGAGAAUUUCUAGGACCCGCUGUAGAUUGAAUGUCUUCGUUUUGCUUCUUCAGAUGUGUAUUGUUUAGAAAUGUCCGUAAUUAUAUUUUUGUUGUGUUUUUCCUUUCCUGUAAAAUGUUAGUUUCUAGUGUGUUUAUGUAAUUUCCUUCUAUUUAAUGACAUAACAUAUAUCUUUGCAAAAAUUGUAUUGGUUGAAAGUUUGCAUAGAGAAAUGUAAGAUGGGCUAAUUUGUCGGCCCAAAAUCAGUGGGCCAUGGAUUGACUGAAA